AUGAUAUUUACACUGCCAAAUCAUACUAUAUAUAGACACUCGGUUGAAAAUAGGGUGAUACACCAACAUAACUUCAUAUGGAAAAUCAAAAUGCCUCCUACGGUCAAAGUUUUUAUGUGGCUGGUGUUGAGAAAGAGCAUCCUAACAAAAGACAAUCUACUGAGAAGGGGAUGGACUGGGGAUAAAAAAUGUCCUUUUCAUAUGCAAGAUGAAAGCAUAAACCAUCUUUUCUUGAAAUGCUCUUUUGUUAGGUUGUUGUGGAACAUUAUGCAAUGUGCAUUUGGUCUACAGAACAUACCUGAUAACAUUCAUGAUUUGUUCAAUGUGUGGCUGGGGAACUUUAAUAAACAUGAGAAAAACUUAGUGAUUGUUAGGAUUUCUGCCAUAUGUUGGACAAUUUGA
rnacentral:rRNA from 1 species